GGACCUAUAACUCAAUGGUUAGAGUACCCGGCUCAUAACCGGUAGGUUGCUGGUUCAAGUCCAGCUGGGUCCA
rnacentral:tRNA from 1 species